rnacentral:misc_RNA from 1 species
GUGAAAGUGGAGGUGUUAUGGUGGUGGUGGUGACAGUUAUGUUAGCAGAUCCAGCGACUGGCAAUGACACAGCAAGUGUAGAAAAUUCUAAAGUGGCACAAUGCCUUACUGUUACUGGUAUAGAUCAUGGAUUUCUUUCACAGAAAGUCUACUACUAUAAGACAUUACAUCUAAAUAACCAGUAGAAAAUUAACAAAUGAAACAUGUCAUCAAUCCAGCUUUGAAAUAUUUUGACAGACAUUAAAC